AAGAGGUGUAACCAACAUGAAACCAGAGACCCAUCUCUUGGUGAAAAAUUAAGAAAACCGCUGGUUGAAGAUCCAGAAUCACUUGCAAGCGACGGCUGGACUACACUGUCUGAAACACUUCCAUGCAGAAGAACUACAGUAUUAUGCAGAAACACCUAUAUCUGACACAGACGGGGGUUUUGCCAGGCAGAAUGACGAUGAUGAGCUGCAGCCCCGAGUAAGUGUUCUUCAGAUGUCUGAACAUGGGCUCCACGCUGUCCGCUCCCUGGGCGUACUUGCAGAAGCACGGCUGUCCCUGGAUGGGCAUACCGGCGUCCUUGGAGAUCUUCCGUAGCUGGUCUGUGAAGUUCCUAAGAAGAUAGAAUAAUAAUUUAUUCCAUAGUUUCUUCCCUCUCCUAUGUUAUGGCUCUGAUACUAGGGUUGCACGGUGUGUGUGCUAUAUGCGGGGGACGGUAUAAAUUUUUCCUACGGUAGGGAUAUGGACUCCGGCCUGACU